UACGUAGGGUGCAAGCGUUGUCCGGAAUUAUUGGGCGUAAAGAGCUCGUAGGCGGUCUGUCACGUCGGCUGUGAAAUCCCGAGGCUCAACCUCGGGUCUGCAGUCGAUACGGGCAAACUAGAGUAUUGCAGGGGAGACUGGAAUUCCUGGUGUAGCGGUGAAAUGCGCAGAUAUCAGGAGGAACACCGGUGGCGAAGGCGGGUCUCUGGGCAAUAACUGACGUUGAGGAGCGAAAGCGUGGGGAGCGAACAGG
rnacentral:rRNA from 1 species